UUAAAGCGAUAGUAAAUUCCAUACCUGGUAAGAAGGAUAGCCAGGGGAAAAUGUUAGCAACUGCUUUUAUAUUGUCUCAGAUUAAUGAACUGAAGAGAAUGGGCCUCAAAUACCACAUUAGCAGCUAAGCAACUACAUUAUAACUUUUAAAACUAGAACUCACCUCAGGAUCAAAACGCACCUCCAACUUCUCCUGUUUUUUUCGGAUUACCUGUCCAGCUCCACGACUCAACGGAGACAGACUGGACAUUGUCAAACCAUCACACCUACAACUUUCCUUUGCUUUUGAGAAUAUAACAUUAAUUCAUUUUAGGGAAAUCUUAUAAAGCUAGACAAUACUAAGGGUGCCUCUCUUUAAAAACAGACACCCAUUUGCAAACCUGUGUUAUAUUCAUGCAUAGCCAGAAAUAUCAAGAAGACUUUUAUAGAAAGCUUGGCCAGUUUUGUUCCUAAAUUUUACUUUUUCUACCACCUAUUCUGUUUCUUCUGGUUUGGUUGGUCCAAGGAUCUGUGAAUCUCUGCUGCCGCCAUCCUCUUUAUUGUGCUCUGAGGUUGUUGCUAUGUUGCUAUGGCAGCAAAAGGAAAUUAAGUUGUUUAAGCCAGCAAGAGGGAAGUUUGGGAGGAGAGAGAGAGAAGGAAAGAAGGAAAGAACGAAGGAAAGAAAUAUAGAUUUUCGAAUGCUCCGGAUCAGAUUUCAAGACUAGAUUAACUCCCUUGGCUCAGGAUCAGAUUUCAAGACUGGAUUGUUGUGCAAAACACCCCUUUCCUUGUCAGCUUGAAGAAUGGGCCACAGACUUUUCAAAAGUCUAAAAUUACUAUUUUAACCUAUGAAAAGGAGUUUAGAGCUGAGCUUAUACAAACGGCAGCUGCUGUUCAUUUCAAAAGGUCUAUUCCCCUCAUUCAACAUCACUGUUUGUGCUCUGCUUCCGAAUAGGACACUUUUCUUUCCUGUUGCACAAAAUGCUCUGCCUCGUGAAAGAGGUUCACAAGUUUGUGAGCAGCAUCGGGUACAGAAGCAAGGAGGGACAGCGCCCCCCCCCCGUGCCAUGGGGACCACAGACAAGCCCUACAACAAGACUGACAGGACCAGAAAGGAAU
rnacentral:lncRNA from 1 species